rnacentral:rRNA from 1 species
UACCGGCAGCACGAGUGAUGACCGCUAUUAUUGGGCCUAAAGCGUCCGUAGCUGGCCAUGCAAGUCCAUCGGGAAAUCCGCGUGCUUAACGCGCGGGCGUCCGGUGGAAACUGCAUGGCUUGGAACCAGAAGACCAGAGGGGUACGUCCGGGGUAGGAGUGAAAUCCCGUAAUCCUGGACGGACCACCGGUGGCGAAAGCGCCUCUGGAAGACGGAUCCGACGGUGAGGGACGAAAGCUCGGGUCACGAACCGG